CGAACUCUGGUAUUGAUUGGUGCUUGCAUCAUGAUUUACAUUUGAGUGAGUGGCGAACUGGUGAGUAACACGUGGGAAACCUGCCCAGAAGCGGGGGAUAACACCUGGAAACAGAUGCUAAUACCGCAUAACAACUUGGACCGCAUGGUCCGAGCUUGAAAGAUGGCUUCGGCUAUCACUUUUGGAUGGUCCCGCGGCGUAUUAGCUAGAUGGUGGGGUAACGGCUCACCAUGGCAAUGAUACGUAGCCGACCUGAGAGGGUAAUCGGCCACAUUGGGACUGAGACACGGCCCAAACUCCUACGGGAGGCAGCAGUAGGGAAUCUUCCACAAUGGACGAAAGUCUGAUGGAGCAACGCCGCGUGAGUGAAGAAGGGUUUCGGCUCGUAAAACUCUGUUGUUAAAGAAGAACAUAUCUGAGAGUAACUGUUCAGGUAUUGACGGUAUUUAACCAGAAAGCCACGGCUAACUACGUGCCAGCAGCCGCGGUAAUACGUAGGUGGCAAGCGUUGUCCGGAUUUAUUGGGCGUAAAGCGAGCGCAGGCGGUUUUUUAAGUCUGAUGUGAAAGCCUUCGGCUCAACCGAAGAAGUGCAUCGGAAACUGGGAAACUUGAGUGCAGAAGAGGACAGUGGAACUCCAUGUGUAGCGGUGAAAUGCGUAGAUAUAUGGAAGAACACCAGUGGCGAAGGCGGCUGUCUGGUCUGUAACUGACGCUGAGGCUCGAAAGUAUGGGUAGCAAACAGGAUUAGAUACCCUGGUAGUCCAUACCGUAAACGAUGAAUGCUAAGUGUUGGAGGGUUUCCGCCCUUCAGUGCUGCAGCUAACGCAUUAAGCAUUCCGCCUGGGGAGUACGGCCGCAAGGCUGAAACUCAAAGGAAUUGACGGGGGCCCGCACAAGCGGUGGAGCAUGUGGUUUAAUUCGAAGCUACGCGAAGAACCUUACCAGGUCUUGACAUACUAUGCAAAUCUAAGAGAUUAGACGUUCCCUUCGGGGACAUGGAUACAGGUGGUGCAUGGUUGUCGUCAGCUCGUGUCGUGAGAUGUUGGGUUAAGUCCCGCAACGAGCGCAACCCUUAUUAUCAGUUGCCAGCAUUAAGUUGGGCACUCUGGUGAGACUGCCGGUGACAAACCGGAGGAAGGUGGGGAUGACGUCAAAUCAUCAUGCCCCUUAUGACCUGGGCUACACACGUGCUACAAUGGAUGG
rnacentral:rRNA from 2 species